rnacentral:rRNA from 1 species
GUGGCCUCGGGUCGGAACGNAGGGUUACCCG